rnacentral:rRNA from 1 species
AACGAACGCUGGCGGCAGGCUUAACACAUGCAAGUCGAACGCCCCGCAAGGGGAGUGGCAGACGGGUGAGUAACGCGUGGGAAUCUACCCAAUUCUACGGAACAACUGAGGGAAACUUCAGCUAAUACCGUAUACGCCCUACGGGGGAAAGGUUUAUCGGAAUUGGAUGAGCCCGCGUUGGAUUAGCUAGUUGGUGGGGUAAUGGCCUACCAAGGCGACGAUCCAUAGCUGGUCUGAGAGGAUGAUCAGCCACACUGGGACUGAGACACGGCCCAGACUCCUACGGGAGGCAGCAGGGGGGAAUAUUGGAAAAUGGGCGAAAGCCUGAUCCAGCCAUGCCGAGUGAGUGAUGAAGGCCUUAGGGUUGUAAAGCUCUUUCAGUGGGGAAGAUAAUGACGGUACCCACAGAAGAAGCCCCGGCUAACUUCGUGCCAGCAGCCGCCGUAA